rnacentral:rRNA from 1 species
AACGAACGCUGGCGGCGCGCCUAAUACAUGCAAGUCGAGCGAGAAGACGUAGCAAUACGUUUGUAAAGCGGCGAACGGGUGAGGAAUACAUGGGUAACCUACCCUCGAGUGGGGAAUAACUAGCCGAAAGGUUAGCUAAUACCGCGUACGCUCCUUGGACUUCGGUUCAGGGAGGAAAGCGAUACCGUGGGUAUCGCGCUCUUGGAUGGGCUCAUGUCCCAUCAGCUUGUUGGUGAGGAACGGCUCACCAAGGCUUCGACGGGUAGCUGGUCUGAGAGGACGAUCAGCCACACUGGCACUGCGACACGGGCCAGACUCCUACGGGAGGCAGCAGUAAGGAAUAUUGCGCAAUGGGCGAAAGCCUGACGCAGCGACGCCGCGUGGGGGAUGAAGGUCUUCGGAUUGUAAACCCC